rnacentral:rRNA from 1 species
GACGAACGCUGGCGGCGUGCUUAACACAUGCAAGUCGAACGGUAAGGCCCUUCGGGGUACACGAGUGGCGAACGGGUGAGUAACACGUGGGUGAUCUGCCCUGCACUUCGGGAUAAGCCUGGGAAACUGGGUCUAAUACCGGAUAGGACCACUGCCGGCAUGGGUGGUGGUGGAAAGCUUUUGCGGUGUGGGAUGGGCCCGCCGGCUUACGAGCUUGUUGGAGGGGGGAUGGCCGACUCAGGCGAAGACGGGUAGCCGGCCUGUGAGGGUUACCGGCCACACUGGGACUGAGAUACGGCCCAGACUCCUGCGGGAUGCAGCAGUGGGGAAUAUUGAACAAUGGGCGCAAGCCUGAUGGAGCGACGCCGCGUGAGGGAUGACGGCCUUCGGGUUGUAAACCUCUUUCAGCACCGACGAAGCGCAAGUGACGGUAGGUGCAGAAGAGGGACCGGCCAACUACGUGCCAGCCGCCGCAGUAACAC